rnacentral:rRNA from 1 species
CAGGGGGGGCAAGCGUUGUUCGGAAUUACUGGGCGUAAAGGGUUCGUAGGUGGCCACUUAAGUCAGACGUGAAAUCCCUCAGCUUAACUGGGGAACUGCGUCUGAUACUGCGUGGCUUGAGUGCAGGAGAGGAAUGCGGAAUUCCAGGUGUAGCGGUGAAAUGCGUAGAUAUCUGGAGGAACACCGGUGGCGAAGGCGGCAUUCUGGACUGUAACUGACACUGAUGAACGAAAGCCAGGGGAGCAAACGGGAUUAGAUACCCCGGUAGUCCUGGCCCUAAACGAUGAAUGCUUGGUGUGGCGGGUAUCGAUCCCUGCCGUGCCGCAGUUAACGCGAUAAGCAUUCCGCCUGGGGAGUACGGUCGCAAGGCUG